rnacentral:rRNA from 1 species
GAUGAACGCUAGCGGCAGGCUUAAUACAUGCAAGUCGUGGGGCAGCAGGUCCCGCAGCAAUGUGGGAUGCUGGCGACCGGCAAACGGGUGCGGAACACGUACACAACCUUCCUUUAAGUGGGAAUAGCCCGGGGAAACCCGGAUUAAUACCCCGUAACAUGAUGAAGUGGCAUCACUUUAUUAUAAUAGCUCCGGCGCUUUAAGAUGGGUGUGCGACUGAUUAGGCAGUUGGCGGGGUAACGGCCCACCAAACCUACGAUCAGUAACUGGUGUGAGAGCACGACCAGUCACACGGGCACUGAGACACGGGCCCGACUCCUACGGGAGGCAGCAGUAAGGAAUAUUGGUCAAUGGACGCAAGUCUGAACCAGCCAUGCCGCGUGGAGGAUGAAGGUCCUCUGGAUUGUAAACUUCUUUUAUCUGGGAAGAAACCCACGAAUUCUUUUGUGGCUGACGGUACCAGAUGAAUAAGCACCGGCUAACUCCGUGCCAGCAGCCGCGGUAAUACGGAGGGUGCAAGCGUUAUCCGGAUUCACUGGGUUUAAAGGGUGCGUAGGUGGGUUGGUAAGUCAGUGGUGAAAUCUCCAGGCUUAACUUGGAAACUGCCAUUGAUACUAUCAAUCUUGAAUGCCGUGGAGGUCAGCGGAAUAUGUCAUGUAGCGGUGAAAUGCUUUAGAUAUGACAUAGAACACCAAUUGCGAAGGCAGCUGGCUACACGAAUAUUGACACUGAUGCACGAAAGCGUGGGGAUCAAAACAGGAUUAGAUACCCUGGUAGU